GGAAUCAUAAAAGGAAACAAACACGUCCUGGCUUCCUGAUGAGGGGCGCGAGGGCCGCGGAAAACGCGAAGACAACUAACCCUCAUCCGGCGCAUCUGAGAGCAGGUCGCCGCCCCGGCCGAUCCACUUCUACCAUACGCGAGAGCAGGCCGCCGUCUUCGCCGCUCCUCCGACGGAGGCAAUUGCAGGACGCCGCCCCUGCCGCUGCUCCUCUGCUUCCCCAUGUAGGCCGCUGAUCCUCUUCCCACGGACGCGAGCGCAGGCCGACGCCCCCGCCGGUCCCUUUCUAACGAACUUAAGAGCAGGCCGCUACCCCCGCCGCUCCUCCUCCAACGGAUGCGAGAGCAGGCCGCCGCCCCGCUGCUCCUCCUCUGCUACCCCAGUGUCAACGGAAUAGAGGAACGCAGCGGAAGGAGCAUCAGGCACGCGGUUGCAGCGCCGGCGAAGGUCGGAAAAGAGAUGGGUGGGUUCUCGCCAAGUUUCUGCGGCUCAUGGUGUUCAUCCAACUCCCUAGAACAACUAGAAGAUGAGUUACCACGACUUCUACAUCAAAGGUUGGAUCUUUAGUAGUUUGUUGGUGGGUGUGCCUACUUAUUAAUUUGAUUUGAUAAGUCAACCUGAGGAACUGCAGAUUGGGUGUGAAUGAAGUUGUUAAUAUCAUUUCGUCGUGUGUACUUGUGUACUAAUGAUAGCUGUUGCGUUUGUCUGUGAGAGCUGCUGCGUUGUAUAAGGCCGACGUGCACCAAUGUAAACUUUAGGUGAAGCUUACAACACGGCGAGGGAUAGCCUUGAUUUCUGCAUGAGUAAUGCACCUGUAAUGUUUCAUGUUGUGUUCCUAGACUGCCAACAUUACAGAAUGAUAAGCAUUAUGAAUUAGAUUUUUCUCCGCAUGACAAUUGGUAUGGUUGUUGCUUGACAAAUGAUUUAAAGGCAUAAACUGAUUAGAGAACAUGUCAUGUGUUCUAAUUUCUGAAUCAUAUAGCUCACAUCAAUAUUUUGAAGCUGAACUACAUUGAUUUUUAUGUUUUCCACUAACUGCACCUACACAUGCACAUGCUAAAUUUGUAGAAUGUUACCUUCCAAUAAGAGGAAUCAAAUAAAAAGAAGUAUAUGUAACAAAUUUAAUUUUCGUAACAUGUACGACUUCCAAAUUUAUAUAUUCGAGCUCAUUGUCAGUUCAAAUACCUCUGUUUCGAUGUUAUUGGUGAUUCCAGUUGAAUUGAAUGUUGAGAAUUGCUUUGCAGCCUGAUGUACAACACUAACAUUUUCGUAAAGAAGAAUAAAUUUAAUCGGAGAUGCUUCUAUUUAUUCUCUAAUGAUGUAACCAUAUAACUUGUAUGCUUUCUCUUGUCAACAAGCAAGGUACUUCUUUCAGCAACUACUUUCGGAGGUCUGCUACUGCCAUUUCAUGGAAAUCUGUCACCAUGAUCUUAAACAUGAUGAGAGUCGAACAUCCCAGUGAAAAUUUGCAACUUUGGUUACUCAAAGGUGCUAAUACUUGUGUUAUGUAUCAUGGAUUGCUAGAAUUGAUCUUUCCCUUUUAUGCUCUUCAAUUGAUAUACCGUAUUCAGCUAUCUAACUCUUGCUUUCCAUACACUUCUUUAGCAGAACAUCAUCAUAUAUUUGACUGCUUAAAGAGACGACUUUGAAUGGAAAAUGAGUAAAGACACUGACUAUUAUCGCAGCCAAUAGAUUUAUUUGUUGUGCUCUUCCGAACUGGAAUACCCUCAAUGCUAAUAAUUUAUUAAUUUUAUUUAGAUGACACCUAAACCCCUAAGUCAUGUUUCUUGCAGUGUAUUUUCUUACACUUCAUUAAAAUUAAUUAUAUAGGUCUACAAUAGUUGCUUCUUUAAAUUAAAGUAGUCUGCUUAUGAGAGAUAUAAAACAAUCCAGUUCUCUGACCAUGAAUAUUGUGGGAAAUUUCAAAAUAUUUGAUGGAAAAUUCUACACACUUGAAAAGGAAAGUUGGGUACUUUCGAAAAGGAAGAUUCUCUGGCAUGCAUUUUCUAAGUUGUAAUGCUCUGCUUUCACUUGCACAAUAACACUGCUCCUAGAUGUACCUUGCCUUGACAUGCACAAUAACAUUGCCUUGAUGUACUAUUCGGAAAGAAUAUGCAAAAUAACAUAUGCUCGGAGAAUAAUUUUAAUUGCCUUCUUAACAUCAAUAUUUUAGGGGCACGGUAUGCCUCACUCCAGGAACAAUGUACCAUUGCGACUGCUUCUAAUUGAGUUUUAUAUUUAAUCAUUUGCCCUCAGAGCGCAUUAAACACCCAUGUAUCUUUCUUGAACUGAUGGGUAUCACCGGAUUGGACAAAUACAUUUCUGAUCUGGUAGUUUGACUAUCGUUCUUUGGUAAUUUACUUAUUGUUACAUGUAUAUACCAGUUGUAAAAUGCACCUAAUUGUAGCGUUGGCACUCUCCGCGUGUGUUUCGUCACGCUUGGACCAAUAUUGUGAGCAUCCCAACAUGCUGUGGCUCUGCAUGUCAAGGGCGGUGCGUUGUUGGACAGGGUACAGGUUCUCUCGAGUGACGAAAGGACGAAGGAGAGUGUAAAAGUGUUGGUACAUGUGAUGGCGCAUCACUGAUGUGGUUGAGUACAGUUUUUAGCCAGUUAAGAGGAGGAACAAGAACAGUUGGGUGCAGCUGAAGUAUUAAUGAAGAGGACCUAUUCAUUCA